CUUGAGGCGUGGCUUCCGGAGCUAACGCGUUAAAUCGACCGCCUGGGGAGUACGGCCGCAAGGUUAAAACUCAAAUGAAUUGACGGGGGCCCGCACAAGCGGUGGAGCAUGUGGUUUAAUUCGAUGCAACGCGAAGAACCUUACCUACUCUUGACAUCCAGAGAACUUUCCAGAGAUGGAUUGGUGCCUUCGGGAACUCUGAGACAGGUGCUGCAUGGCUGUCGUCAGCUCGUGUUGUGAAAUGUUGGGUUAAGUCCCGCAACGAGCGCAACCCUUAUCCUUUGUUGCCAGCGGUUCGGCCGGGAACUCAAAGGAGACUGCCAGUGAUAAACUGGAGGAAGGUGGGGAUGACGUCAAGUCAUCAUGGCCCUUACGAGUAGGGCUACACACGUGCUACAAUGGCGUAUACAAAGAGAAGCGACCUCGCGAGAGCAAGCGGACCUCAUAAAGUACGUCGUAGUCCGGAUUGGAGUCUGCAACUCGACUCCAUGAAGUCGGAAUCGCUAGUAAUCGUAGAUCAGA
rnacentral:ncRNA from 1 species